UACGUAUGUCGCAAGCGUUAUCCGGAAUUAUUGGGCAUAAAGGGCAUCUAGGCGGCUAGAUAAGUCUGGGGUGAAAACCUGCGGCUCAACCUGAAGCCUGCCUUGGAAACUAUGUAGCUAGAGUACUGGAGAGGUGGGCGGAAUUGCACGAGUAGAGGUGAAAUUCGUAGAUAUGUGCAGGAAUGCCGAUGGUGAAGAUAGUUCACUGGAUGGUAACUGACGCUGAAGUGCGAAAGCUUGGGGAGCAAACAGG
rnacentral:rRNA from 1 species